UACGUAGGGGGCAAGCGUUGUCCGGAUUUAUUGGGCGUAAAGAGCGUGUAGGCGGCUUGGUAGGUCCGCUGUGAAAACUCGAGGCUCAACCUCGAGAUGUCGGCGGAAACCACUUGGCUAGAGUCCGGAAGAGGAGAGUGGAAUUCCUGGUGUAGCGGUAGAAUGCGCAGAGUAUACAGGAAGAACACCUAUGGCGAAGGCAGCUCUCUGGGACGGUACUGACGCUGAGACGCGGAAGGCGUGGGGAGCGAACAGG
rnacentral:rRNA from 1 species